GCCACCACCCCAUAACUCCUGUUGGUUUCCCCUGCGGAUCUAUCAACCUCCAAUAUUGGUUAUGUAAAGCCGAAUGUAGAAUACCCUUUGUAGUGACAUCAAAUGCAGAUGAAGUACCUCCAGUAGCAUUUAUCCAAUUGACAAUUCUUUGUCGAUGCGCAUCUUGAUUGUAACAUAAAUUGCCACCUUCAUAAGCCAAGCUAUCCCAGUAUUCUCCAAUGGAAAACACAGGGCUUGACGAUUCAAUGUAUUCCUUCACAUAUCCUCCGGAGAAGCCUCU
rnacentral:misc_RNA from 1 species